UUUAAAUCUCAUUGAUUAAACAAGAAAAUACUGGAUGGCAGCGCAAACUUUCCCGUCCCUAUACCGAACUGUAG
rnacentral:lncRNA from 1 species